AGGUGUGGCGUUCGUGUCCCACCACCACAAGACAAACAGUCGAGUCACCAGCGCCAGGCCGCCCAAGAGGAGGAGGAGGAGGACAGGUGGGCGGGUAUAGAGGCGGGCUGUCUAGGGGACCCCACACAGGUAGCGACCCUCAGCCCUGGCGGCGCGACGGGGACAGCCACGCCCAACCCCUGUACUGCCGCUGCUCCUUCAGGAUGGUUAAUGGUCCCCACACCGACCGACCAUACAGUAACUCAAACGGAGAGAAACUCAGGCUGGCUUGCGGUGCCUCUCUGUAAGUAAACACAAGUGUGCUGUCCUGCACACUUCCUUCGCUGCAUGAACUUCAGGGUAUCAUUGAAUUUUUCAACCAAAACAUUGCCCAUCUUAUGGUAAGGGGAUGUAGGAAGGUGGUUGAUGGACAGCAGCCUUUGUACUUCCCCAUCAUCUACGAAGUGGAGUAGGAGCACCGGUCAGUUAUAAUCUCUUCCGGAACACUCACAUGAGAAAACAUUUCUAACAGUGCCUCUGCUACUUGUUCCGUUGUUACUGACCGCAGGCAGAUCGCCUCAGGAUAACGUGUUGCAUAGUCAACCAUGGUGAUGAUGAAUUUGAUCUGUACGUGGCUCAAUAGGAACAAUGAUAUCUACCACCACUCGUUUAAAUGGGACAUAAACCAAUGGCAUCUCUCCAAGAGGAACCUUGCCUACCUUUCCUCGAACAGUCCUCUGGCAGACAUCACAUGACUGACUACCUCUUUUCCUAAAUUUCCGUCUGAACCCUUCCUCGGUGCAUUUGAACCUGUCCAUUAGGGCGUUCUUGACUUUAUCCACCGCCUCCUCAUCACUUAACCGCAAGCAAGUCUCCAGCGCCACCCCCGUGAGAUGAGAACUUAGCACAAUCGCCAGAGUAUUCCAUGGCCAUUGAGCGGUUUCAGCAAACAACUCGAACCGGUGAAUGUACGAGACAAAGUCAUCCUUAUGGUAAUCAAAGGGAGGGAUGAACGAACCCUUAACCUUCACACGAGUCCAUUUAGCCGCAUUCGUUGCACCCCUCCCGAUCUCAACUCUCAACCGCCGCUCUUCUUCCUCUGCCCUUUCCUUCUCGCGCACCCUCUCCAGCUGCCGUUCCUCUCUCUCCCGCUGACGUUCAUCCCUUUGCCUAUCUUGUUCUUGCUUAAAAUCCUUUAAA